rnacentral:rRNA from 1 species
GACGAACGCUGGCGGCGUGCUUAACACAUGCAAGUCGAACGGAAAGGCCCUGCUUUUGUGGGGUGCUCGAGUGGCGAACGGGUGAGUAACACGUGAGUAACCUGCCCUUGACUUUGGGAUAACUUCAGGAAACUGGGGCUAAUACCGGAUAGGAGCUCCUGCUGCAUGGUGGGGGUUGGAAAGUUUCGGCGGUUGGGGAUGGACUCGCGGCUUAUCAGCUUGUUGGUGGGGUAGUGGCUUACCAAGGCUUUGACGGGUAGCCGGCCUGAGAGGGUGGCCGGCCACAUUGGGACUGAGAUACGGCCCAGACUCCUACGGGAGGCAGCAGUGGGGAAUAUUGCACAAUGGGCGGAAGCCUGAUGCAGCAACGCCGCGUGCGGGAUGACUGCCUUCGGGUUGUAAACCGCUUUCGCCUGUGACGAAGCGUGAGUGACGGUAAUGGGUAAAGAAGCACCGGCUAACUACGUG